GUUUAAGACACCUGUAGCGGAGGAAGACCACCCUGUAAAAAUAUCAUACCAGUGAUGUUCUGUAUGUGCCUCUAUCUUGUUAUCUUUGCUGUGUAGUUUAUUAGCAACUAUGACAGUUCUCUUCUCUAGUUCAUGCAAAGAGUGGUUAACGAUGGCUAGAUGUUUAGCUAGGUGGUCAGUAUUGUUAACAAUGUUAAUUAAGGAUUGUAG